rnacentral:rRNA from 1 species
AUGAUAUCUCUAAGAAAAUGGUUUAUUCAAUGGCAAAGUGACUGUCUCCCGAAAAUAGAAAAAAAACGGAUUUGCUAUUUUAUAGUCGAGUGUUUUUCAAUUCGUUUUCACUCAAAUCUUUGUCCAUCCGUUCUCGCGCGGAGAUUCGCGCUAGCACAUCUGUUUUUCGGAUUGGUUUUCUUUGUCGGGCGCGGUUUUGUUUUUGUCCCAGCCCGUUACUGCCGCGCCGGCCCGGCACCGCCAGGUUUUCUUUGUCGGGCGCGGUGUAGUUUCCCCUUUUCAUCUGGGAGCAGAGAGCGAGAAGGAGGAACAGGCGCUCGUGGACGCGAUUUUGUCUGUUCAUGUCGAUUCCGAGUUUCCCCACCGCUCGAGCUUGAUUUCCCCUCCCUUUCUCUUCGAUCCACGGUUGCCGCGGUGCUUUGUGGUCCAGGAAAGGGAAAAGGAGCGUGGGCGACAGGUUCAAGAGGGUUUUGUGAUAGUUGCAUGGUUUUGUUUUGGUUAAGUUAG